GAUGAACGCUAGCGGCAGGCCUAACACAUGCAAGUCGAGGGGUAGAGGAAGCUUGCUUCCUUGAGACCGGCGCACGGGUGCGUAACGCGUAUGCAAUCUACCUUUUACAGAGGGAUAGCCCAGAGAAAUUUGGAUUAAUACCUCAUAGUAUUUUCGAAUGGCAUCAUUUGAUUAUUAAAGUUCCAACGGUAAAAGAUGAGCAUGCGUCCUAUUAGCUAGAUGGUAAGGUAACGGCUUACCAUGGCAACGAUAGGUAGGGGUCCUGAGAGGGCGCUCCCCCACACGGGGACUGGGACACGGACCAGACUCCUACGGGAGGCAGCAGUGAGGAAUAUUGGACAAUGGGCGCAAGCCUGAGCCAGCCAUGCCGCGUGCAGGAAGGCGCAUCUAUGGUGUGUAAACUGCUUUUGUACGGGAAGAAACACUCCCUCGUGAGGGAGCUUGACGGUACCGUAAGAAUAAGGAUCGGCUAACUACGUGCCAGCAGCCGCCCGUAAAAC
rnacentral:rRNA from 1 species